rnacentral:rRNA from 1 species
UACGUAGGGUGCGAGCGUUGUCCGGAAUUACUGGGCGUAAAGCGCUCGUAGGUGGUUUGUCGCGUUGUUCGUGAAAACUCACAGCUCAACUGUGGGCGUGCGGGCGAUACGGGCAGACUUGAGUACUGCAGGGGAGACUGGAAUUCCUGGUGUAGCGGUGGAAUGCGCAGAUAUCAGGAGGAACACCGGUGGCGAAGGCGGGUCUCUGGGCAGUAACUGACGCUGAGGAGCGAAAGCGUGGGGAGCGAACAGG